AUCUUCUCGUCCAAGGUACAUUUUAGUGGCUACCAGGAAUGUAAAUUUAUUAUUUUAAAUUAUAAUCUUGGUCAUUUACUCCUAUAACUUACUUUAUGAAUUCAAAUAAAUUGUACUGAUGUUAAUAAUUGCUGCAGUUUCUCGUGGUGAAUUUAGUGGAAAACUACUACUGAAAGGUUGAAGUGGUUUUCUGUUGCACAAAAUUGAUGCUUUUUAGGAAUGAAGUUGCUUGAUAUAAUCUUCCUUGUCAAUUGAGCAGUAGUGUUUGUUCUUUCUUUUUUCAGUUGCCAAAAUCACAUCUGAGGCAGGUGCAGAAUAAAGCAGAAGUUGAAGCAGCCAAUACUGGAAUGGCUUGGUGUAUCCAGCACGACUGUAGCAGAAUCAUCCUUGAGGUUGACUCGGAGCAAGUGACCAAAUGGUACAACAAUAGCAUUGCACCUCCAUGGAGCAUAACUGGCCUCAUUCAUCAACCUCAUACUAAUUUAAUACAACUUCUACUACAAUAUACCAACAUGAAAUUGGCAAUCAAACACAAUCCUACAAGGACAACACUAAGACAUUUAGCUGAAGCAGGUGAUGGCUAAUCUUUGGAGUCUAUGAGUUGUGUGUACUUUUCACUUUGUUGUUGAGGUUUGUCACUAACAACAACCUGUUUUUCUUUGUUACUAGGAUCAUUUUUGUUAGCUGU
rnacentral:lncRNA from 1 species